UCGAGCGAGUUCAUUUGUCCCGUAAUUUUCAAUUUUCACACGAGCCGCGUGACGAGCAAUUUUGAUAACAAGCAGGCGUGUGUUUUUCUUCGCCCCCCUCUAACGCUACUCGUGACAAACACUCGCAACUCGAUAAAAUACCGGCGGAAUAAAAAAAAUUGCAAAUAAUUUUCUUUCUCAUGCAGAUACUCUUCUAGUGAAAGAUGAAUCGAGAUUUCAGUAAUUACCCGCAAGACCGCAGCGAGGAAGAACAACUCAUUUACGAGACCAUUGCAACGUCUCUGGAACGCAUAAUUCUGAUGUCGAACAACAGGGCUUUCCGGGAGAAAUGCUUGAGACUUCUGCUGGUCAAUGGUGGCACAAUUGUUGAUCUCAAAAGCGCAAUUCUCUUGCGACUGUACCAGCAAGCAUCCAAUCGAAAGCGCAAAAGAUAGUUCACUUAUUUUCAACUGAGAUAUUUACAUGUAAAAUACACUAUGAAUUAUAAUAAAAUUCUCCAGAA